UUGAAGAUUAAAUGCCAUCAAGAACAACAUGGUAACUACCUGGACCAGGAAGUUCAUGACCAACCAAAUACUUCAGUGGAAACAAAUGAUCAUCGAUGUCCUUCAUCCUGGGAAGGCAACAGUACCUAAGACAGAAAUUCGGGAAAAACUAGCCAAAAUGUACAAGACCACACCAGAUGUCAUCUUUGUGUUUGGAUUCAGAACCCAUUUUGGUGGUGGCAAGACAACUGGCUUUGGCAUGAUUUACGAUUCCCUGGAUUAUGUGAAGAAGGAUGAGCCCAAACACAGGCUUGCAAGACAUGGCCUCUGCACGGGAAGAAAAACACCUCAAGAAAACAGGAAAAGGAAUGCAAGAGCAGAAUAAAGAAAGUCAGGGGGACUACAAAGGACAGUGUCGGUGCCUGCAAAAAGCAAUGA